UACGUAGGGGGCAAGCGUUAUCCGGAAUUAUUGGGCGUAAAGCGUCCGCAGGUGGACAUACAAGUCUGCUGUCAAAGUGCAGAGCUUAACUCUGUAAAGGCGGUGGAAACUGUAGGUCUUGAGUAUGGUAGGGGUAGAGGGAAUUCCCGGUGUAGCGGUGAAAUGCGUAGAUAUCGGGAAGAACACCAGUGGCGAAAGCGCUCUACCGGGCCAUAACUGACACUGAGGGACGAAAGCUAGGGGAGCGAAAGGG
rnacentral:rRNA from 1 species